GACGAACGCUGGCGGCGUGCUUAACACAUGCAAGUCGAACGGAAAGGCCCUGCUUUUGUGGGGUGCUCGAGUGGCGAACGGGUGAGUAACACGUGAGUAACCUGCCCUUGACUUUGGGAUAACUUCAGGAAACUGGGGCUAAUACCGGAUAGGGGCUCCUGCUGCAUGGUGGGGGUUGGAAAGUUUCGGCGGUUGGGGAUGGACUCGCGGCUUAUCAGCUUGUUGGUGGGGUAGUGGCUUACCAAGGCUUUGACGGGUAGCCGGCCUGAGAGGGUGACCGGCCACAUUGGGACUGAGAUACGGCCCAGACUCCUACGGGAGGCAGCAGUGGGGAAUAUUGCACAAUGGGCGGAAGCCUGAUGCAGCAACGCCGCGUGCGGGAUGACGGCCUUCGGGUUGUAAACCGCGUUCGCCUGUGACGAAGCGUGAGUGACGGUAAUGGGUAAAGAAGCACCGGCUAACUACGUGC
rnacentral:rRNA from 1 species